GGUUACGACCAAGCGUACACGGUGGAUGCCCCGGGCAGUCGUAGAGGCGAUGAAGGGCGUGCUAAUCUUCGCGAUGUCGCCGGUAAGGUGAUAUGGAACCGUUAUAACCGGCGAUGUCUUCUAAUUGGGGGAAACCCAGUGCGUGACUCGUCACACUAUCAUUAACUGAAUCUAUGUGGUGCUGUCGAGGCGAACCGGGGAACUGAAACAUCUGGGUACCCCGAGGAAAAGAAAUCAACUCGAGAUUCCCCAGCAGCGGCGAGCGAACGGGGAUGGCUUCCAGAGCCCGAAUCAGCAUGUGCGUGUUAGUGGAAGCGUCUGGAAAGGCGCGAUACAGGGUGACAGCCCCGUACACAAAAGCGCAUGUGCUGUGAGCUGGAUGAGAGGGCGGUCACGUGGGUAUCCCUGUCUGAAUAUCAUGGGGACCAUCCUCCGCUGCCAAAUACUCCUGACUGACCGAUAGCGAACCAGUACCGUGAGGAAAGGCGAAAAGAACCCCGGCGAGGGGAGUGAAAAAGAACCUGAAACCGCACGUACAAGCAGUGGGGUUAACAGGUUUACCUGUGUGACUGCGUACCUUUUGUGGUAUAGCGGUCGGGUCAGCGACUUAUAUUCUGUAGCAAGGUUAACCGUAUAGGGGAGCCGGAGGAAACCGAGUCUUAACCGGGCGUUAAGCCGUGCGGUAUGGUGACCCGAAACCCGGUGAUUCAGCCAUGGGCAGGCGUUGAAGGUUGGGUAACACUAACUGGAGGACCGAACCGACUAAUGUUGAAAAAUUAGUGGAUGACCCGUGGCUGGGGUGAAAGGCCAAUCAAAACCGGGAGAUAGCUGGUCUCCCCGAAAGCCAUUUAGGUAGCGCCCGUGAAUUCUAUCUCCGGGGUAGAGCACUGUUUCGCUAGGGCCAUCCCGGCUUUACCAACCCGAUGCAAACUGCGAAUACCGGAGAAUGUUAUCACGGGAGCACACCACGGCGGGUGCCAGUCCGUCGUGAAGAGGGAACCCAGACCGCCAGCUAAGGUCCUGCAAAGUCAUGCUGCAGCGGAAACGAUGGAAGCGCCCGUGACAGCUGAUGUUGGCUUAGAAGCAGCCAUCAUUAAAGCGAAAGCGUAAUAGCUCACUGGUCGAGUCGGCCUGCCGGAAGAUGUAACGCUGCAAACCAUGCACCGAAGCUGCGGCAGCGACACCGUGCGCGGUUGGCAGGGGAGCUGCCCCAGGCCUGUGAAGGUGCGUCGAGGCAUGCUGAGGUAUCAGAAGCGCGAAUGCUGACAUAAGUAACGAUAAAGGGCGAAAAGCCCGCCUCGCCGGAAGACCACGUAAGGGUUCCGUCCAACGUUAAUCGGGGCAGGGUGAGUCGACCCCUGCUGGGCGAGGCCGAAAGGCGUAGUCGAUGGAAACGUAAGCCAAUAUCUCCGUACUCCUGGUGUUACCGCGAAGGGGACGGCUAUGUGUUGGCCGGGCGACGUUGUCCCGGUUUAAGCGUGGUGUGUUCCAGUAAAUCCGGUUCACUUUAACACUGAGGCGUGACGACGAGGCACUACGGUGCUGGCACAAAUGCCCUGCUUCCGUGAAAAGUUUCCUAAGCAUCAGGCAGCAACAUCAAAUCGUACCCCAAACCGACACACAGGUGCGGUGGUCAGGUAGAGAAUACCAAGGCGCUUGAGAGAACUCUCGGGUGAAGGAACUAGGCAAAUGGUGCCGUAACUGGAGAAGGCACGCUGACACGUAGGUGAAGUGAUUUACCUCAUGGAGCUGAAGUCAGUCGAAGAUACCAGCUGGCUGCAACCGUUAUUAAAACACAGCACUGUGCAAACACGCAGUGGACGCGCUACGGUGCGACGUGCCUGCCCGGUGCCGGAAGGUUAAUUGAUGGGAAGGUCAGCGCAAAGCGAAGCUUCCCGAUCGAAGCGCCCGGUAUGGGUCAAACUAUAACGGUCCUAGCGUAGCGAAAUUCUUGUCGGUAAGUUCCGACCUGCACGAAUGGCGCGUAAUGAUGGCCGUGCUGUUCCACCCGAGACUCCAGCAAAAUUGAACUUUGCCGCAAGAUGCGCCCGCGGCAAGACGGAAAGCACUUCAGAACCUUUACUAUAGCUUGACACUGAACAUUGAGCCUUGAUGUGUAGGAUAGGUGGUGGGAGGCUUUGAAGCGUGGACGCCAGUCUGCGUGGAGCCGACCUUGAAAUACCAGCCCUUUAAUGUUUGAUGUUCCAACGUGGACCCGUAAUCCGGGUUGCACAGUGUCUGGUGGAAGUAGUUUGAUCAGGGGCGUCUCCUCCCAAAGAGUGAAUGAGGAGCACACGAAGGUUGGCUAACUCGUCGACAUCAGGAGUGUUAGUGCAAUGGCAUAAGCCGCUUGACUGGGUGAGCGUGACGGCGCGAGCAGGCGCAAAGCAGGUCAUAGUGAUCCGCGGUUCUGAAUGGAAGCGGGCCAUCGCUCAACGACAACGGAUAAAAGGUACCCGGGGAUAACAGGCUGAUACCGCCCAAGAGUUCAUAUCGACGGCGGUGUUACACCUCGAGCCGGCUCAUCACAUCCUCGCUGAAGCGGUCCUUCCGCGGCAUGGCUGUUCGCCAUUUAAAGUGGUACGCGAGCUGGGUUUAGAACGUCGUGAGCAUUGCCCGGUCCCUAUUCGCCGCGGGCGCUGGAGAACUGAGGGGGCCGUCUAGCAAUGAGAGAGGACCGGAGCGGACGCACUGGUGUUCGGGUUGUCAUGCCAAUGGCACUGCCCGGUAGCCAAAUGCGGAAGAGAUAAGUGCGAAAGCAUCUAAGCACGAAAUCUGCCCCGAGAUGAGUUCUCCCUGAGACUUAGAGUCUCCUGAAGGAACGUUGAAGACGACGACGUUGAUAGUCGGGUGUAAGCGCAGCGAUGCGUUGAGCUAACCGGUACUAAUGAACCGCGAGGCUUAACCUU
rnacentral:rRNA from 1 species